AUUGAACGCUGGCGGCAUGCCUUACACAUGCAAGUCGAACGGUAACAGGUCUUCGGAUGCUGACGAGUGGCGAACGGGUGAGUAAUACAUCGGAACGUGCCUAGUAGUGGGGGAUAACUACUCGAAAGAGUGGCUAAUACCGCAUGAGAUCUACGGAUGAAAGCAGGGGAUCGCAAGACCUUGUGCUACUAGAGCGGCCGAUGGCAGAUUAGGUAGUUGGUGGGAUAAAAGCUUACCAAGCCGGCGAUCUGUAGCUGGUCUGAGAGGAGGAUCAGGCACCAGGGGACUGGGAAAAGGCCCAGACUCCUACGGGAGGAGGCAUUGGGGAAUUUUGGACAAUGGGCGCAAGCCUGAUCCAGCAAUGCCGCGUGCAGGAUGAAGGCCUUGGUGUUGUAAACUGCUUUUGUACGGAACGAAAAGCCCCGGGUUAAUACCCUGGGGUCAUGACGGUACCGUAAGAAUAAGCACCGGCUAACUACGUGCCAGCAGCCGCCGUAA
rnacentral:rRNA from 1 species